rnacentral:rRNA from 1 species
GAUGAACGCUAGCGGCAGGCCUAACACAUGCAAGUCGAGGGAGAAGCCCUUUCGGGGGCAGAAACCGGCGCACGGGUGCGUAACGCGUAUGCAACCUACCUUUCACAGGGGGAUAGCCCGAAGAAAUUUGGAUUAAUACCCCAUAAUAUUAUUGGAUGGCAUCAUUUGAUAAUUAAAACUGCGGUGGUGAAAGAUGGGCAUGCGUCCUAUUAGCUAGUUGGAGUGGUAACGGCACCCCAAGGCUACGAUAGGUAGGGGUCCUGAGAGGGAGAUCCCCCACACUGGUACUGAGACAGGGACCAGACUCCUACGGGAGGCAGCAGUGAGGAAUAUUGGUCUAUGGUCGGAAGACUGAACCAGCCAUGCCGCGUGCAGGAAGAAUGCCUUAUGGGUUGUAAACUGCUUUUAUAUGGGAAGAAUAAGGCGUACGUGUACGUUGAUGACGGUACCAUAUGAAUAAGCAUCGGCUAACUCCGUG